CCCGCUCACUUACAGAAAGCUUCGUUGGCCCAAGGGAAUUUUCCUCGAGUUCUCUCUGCACUAGCAUGAACCAAAAGGAAAUGAUAAAAUCCUAACCCGCUGCAAGGAAAGGAGCCUUGCCAGUAACUUCAGCCACCUGAAGAACCAGAUCAGCCUCCUGCUGCUGCUGUUUCCCAGUUCCACCUUGAGCUUUCAGUGUUCCCCAGCAGCUCUGGAUCUUGCAUGGUCUCAGCUACUGAGUAUGAUAGCUGAGAUGUCUGCCUGUGUGAUUUCAAGACCUUGAUCUGCUUCAGCAGCAGCUGGAAGAACUCUACAACUGGGAAGAAGGUUUAGUCAACUCUACAUGGAAGUGGAAAAGAAAACACUGACCUGCUGGAUCACACUGCUUUAAUUGCAUUAAGAAGACUCCUGAUCUGGUCCUGAACACAGCAAGUAACCCCACCCCUGAAGUUGAAGCUUAGAACAGAUUUGAAAGGUCCUGUAACUUCCUUGCAAUUCCAGCGGACUUUGCUGCUGUGGGUUUCCAGGAGCAGCUAGACCUAAAAUAUUCCUGGUGGAUGUGAAAUGAAGUGGAUCCUGGAACCUGUUCACUCAGAGGUUUUUUUACAGGUAUCCCUCAGGUAAUCUACCGUAGAGUUUAACUGUGCAAUUUUUUCACCUUUCCUGGAUAAAAAGAUCUUUUCUUUGUAUCUUCAUCUGGAUAUGUAUCUCUACCCCUGUACCUGUCUACCUAUCUAUCUCUCUAGUUAUCCGUACCUGUCUACGUCUCCAACUUAAAUAACUUGCUUGCCUUUAUCAGUGCAACAAAUCAUUCCUGCUGAAGUGCAGGGUGUCACAGGUACCGUUACUGACCCCAGGCUGCUGUGGGGUGAGGGUCCUUCUGGGAUGGGGGGGGGAUGCUGUUGUUUUUUUUUUUUUCUUCUUUUGAAGGUCAUAUUUUGUGCUAAUCUUCUUCUUAAAAAUGUUUGUACUGUCUCUUUGCUCUAAUAUUUCUUACAAUGCCUUUGUCAUCUAGCUGAACUGAAUUCUGAAUACUUGAUUUGAGACCUAGCCUAGAAAAAAAAAAUACAUCUUUCAAGUUUGACAGUAUGUUAACAUUAUAUUUUAGUAUGUUUUAAGUUUUGAAUCUACUGUUUCCAGCCAAUUUGAAAACAUCAUCGUGUCUAUCCCUCUUUUUCUUCUCUUUCCCUAAACUUUGUGUUUAUU